AUGGCGGUUCCUGUCAAUACCAAUAACCAAGAGGAGGAAGGUUGUAAUCCUUCCUCAGGCAAUGAGCUUGAACAAUUAGAAUCAGAUUUUUGUGAUGAAGCCAAUAACAUUGAGCUUGCUAAGGCCUUUUGGUAUAACAAGAGUGAAUUGGAGCAAUCAGCAAUUCUAUCGGUUGAGAUUGAGGAAUUGGAGAUGACUUAUUAUAGGGGCUGUAUACCCCCUUUUGAGCUGCAUCAAGUUCCUUUAUUAUCUGAUGCCAUCAGCUUCAUACAAGACACAAAAUCCUGGUUAUAUUGGGUUUGUCCCAAUUGUGAGAGGAUGUUUCUAGAUUCUGAAGGCUUCUUGUUGCAUCUCGAGAAUGAACAUCUACCACAACUGCCUAGAUCUGAGCCAAUUAUACCUAGGAGAAUAUCUGACAAUGAUGUAAGGGGAUUAAAAACCUUUAGUUGGCUUCCAGGCAACAUGUAUAUGAGAGGAGGAGUGGAUGACACUAAUUUUGAAGAUACCGAGAUAAGGAAAACAAUCAUGCAGAAGAUUCAGGAAGUGGUUUUCAAGCUCAUAGAUCUAAGGAUCCUUUCUGCUGAUCUUACAAAUAAAAUUGACCACGUUUUCAAGACUUCGGGUGGGAAGAAGAGCCUAUCUGUUGCCCGCAUUGCAUUUCUAGGUGCAGAAGAUCUUGAAAUGAUCUAUAAAUUGCUGCAUCAGUUGUCGUUAGCCAAUACAUGGGAACUUGAGCAGAGUCCUGAGUUUGAUGAAGAUGGGAGUGAUUCUUUUGAUGCUGUUACUCUCGUUCAAGAUACUAACACCCUCUGUCUGGAUACUGACUAUAUUGAUGCUAAGAUAUUGAGGAUUGAUUCUGAAAUUGAGUACAUGAAGAAAAUGUUGUCAGAAGUCUGUGCAUUUGAUUACCGUCCUGCCAUCAUGCCUAUUUUGAAGGCCUACAUACGGGAUAAGUUGAGAAAGGCUUCCUCUUGUGGUGUCUUUGAUCAAGAUGAUAGAUAUGCAGAAUAUAACAAGAAUUUGGACUCUGUCAAUCAAUUUCAGAUGGACCAGCAAGCUGGGAGAAAUCAAAAUUUUGUUGAUGAAGGCAACAGUUCUAGGACCAAGGUCGAGAAAGCACGGUGCUUUGUUUCAGAUCAUCAAGCCUCUAUUAUAGAACAAACGGGAACAUGCACAAUAUCAGAGGAACCAAGUGCUCAGAUUGACAUCAGCUGCACCUACUGUGGAGAGAUAGUUGAGGAAAAUUCAACAAUUGUGGAGAAAGAGGAGGAGAUAGUUGAGGAAAAUUCAACAAGUGUGGAGAAAGAGGAGUGGGAAGUGGUCAUGGAGGCUAUGAAGAGGUUGGUGGCAUCUCUGCCUCCAGAGAUGGUUCAGUUGCCAGGGACUAUGUCAGAAGAUCCAGCAAGCAAGAUUGCCUUUCAUAUAAUACGUGAGUUAUCUUUUCGCCAGGCUAUUAAAAGUGUGAAUGGGCAAAGAAUGGACACCAAGGCUGUGGAUACUGGUCCAGGUGCUCUUGGAAUUGCCAAGCCAGCAUCAGACGAAAAGGUCAAUGCAGCAUCAGACAAAAAGGGCAAUUCUGGAAGGCCCAAGAGGAGGAUGCUUAAGAGCUUGAUAUGGGCUCUGCUCUCAUCAUUUGCUAGCCACCUGUCAAUGCUACUGCUAUCCAGAUACUUGUUUGGAGGUGAAGAGGGAAAGGAAUCAAAAGAUUGCUGUCACAUAACUAGAGAGAAGAAAAACAGAGAGUUCAAAAGUGACACAAGUCAUGAUCUGUGUGGAAUCCAAUGUCAAGCUCAUUUGAGCGCAUUCCUGAAAGUAAGUUUGACUACCUUUUUAACAUAUUAUGAUUCCUUUGCAGUUUUCAAAGCAUACUCAUUUUGCAUUGAAGUUUCAGAACUAAUGAAAGCUUGAGUUAAUGAAA
rnacentral:lncRNA from 1 species